rnacentral:rRNA from 1 species
UACGUAGGGGGCAAGCGUUGUCCGGAAUUAUUGGGCGUAAAGCGCGCGCAGGCGGUCCUUUAAGUCUGGUGUUUAAGCCCGAGGCUCAACCUCGGUUCGCACUGGAAACUGGAGUACUUGAGUGCAGGAGAGGAAAGCGGAAUUCCACGUGUAGCGGUGAAAUGCGUAGAGAUGUGGAGGAACACCAGUGGCGAAGGCGGCUUUCUGGACUGUAACUGACGCUGAGGCGCGAAAGCGUGGGGAGCAAACAGG